CCUACGGGAUGCAGCAGUGGGGAAUAUUGGGCAAUGGGCGCAAGCCUGACCCAGCAAAGCCGCGUGAAGGAAGAAGGCUGUAGGGUUGUAAACUUCGUUUAAGGGGGAAGAGCAGAAGACGGUACCCCUUGAAUAAGCCACGGCUCACUACGUGCCAGCAGCCGCGGUAAUACGUAGGUGGCAAGCGUUGUCCGGAUUUACUGGGUGUAAAGGGCGUGCAGCCGGAGAGACAAGUCAGAUGUGAAAUCCCCGGGCUCAACCCGUGAACUGCAUUUGACACUGUUUCCCUUGAGUGUCGGAGAGGUAAGCGGAAUUCCUUGUGUAGCGGUGAAAUGCGUAGAUAUAAGGAAGAACACCAGUGGCGAAGGCGGAUUACUGGACGAUAACUGACGGUGAGGCGCGAAAGCGUGGGGAGCAAACAGGAUUAGAUACCCCAGUAGUC
rnacentral:rRNA from 1 species